GUGGCGCGAGACCUGGUUUCCAGGAGGUGCCACCGGUUUGCGGAGAAAAAAGCAUGAAGUCCUCAGGUGAAACAAUGUAAACAGACGUGGAGAACUUUGAGGCGCUUCUCCACAGGUACGAGAAAUACGUUGUUGUUUUCUUUGCCGAGUGAAGGGAUGCAGUCUAAAGCCGGGGCCUGCGCUUGAGGCCGUCAGGUUCUAGACUGUUAAUGGGUAUCUGGGCUCCGGACUACAUGUCCCAGAGUGCACCAUACCUGAGGCAACUUCCUGCCCUCUGUACGACUUCUUUCCGGACCGUUGAGACAUCACUUGAAGUCACUGUGGAGGGUUCGAUGGUUUUUAGAGGGAUUUCAGGAUCGGACAAAGGACUCUGCUUUGCCAAGAAAGAAAUCCAGAAGACCUGUUGACUCUUGGGAUUUUAAAUCAUGGCCCAUGACCACAAUUUUUGGAUCCAAUCAUCUGUAGUGUAG